CCUACGGGGAGCAGCAGUCGAGAAUUAUUCACAAUGGGGGAAACCCUGAUGGUGCGACGCCGCGUGGGGGAAUGAAGGUCUUCGGAUUGUAAACCCCUGUCAUGUGGGAGCAAAUUAAAAAGAUAGUACCACAAGAGGAAGAGACGGCUAACUCUGUGCCAGCAGCCGCGGUAAUACAGAGGUCUCAAGCGUUGUUCGGAAUCACUGGGCGUAAGGCGUGCGUAGGCUGUUUCGUAAGUCGUGUGUGAAAGGCGCGGGCUCAACCCGCGGACGGCACAUGAUACUGCGAGACUAGAGUAAUGGAGGGGGAACCGGAAUUCUCGGUGUAGCAGUGAAAUGCGUAGAUAUCGAGAGGAACACUCGUGGCGAAGGCGGGUUCCUGGACAUUAACUGACGCUGAGGCACGAAGGCCAGGGGAGCGAAAGGGAUUAGAUACCCGGGUAGUC
rnacentral:rRNA from 1 species